rnacentral:piRNA from 1 species
CUUUCCGGUGGAGAAGUCUGGAGAC